CCUCCUGUCGACCGGGAAGGCGAGAAGCACUGACUGACACACAGGCGCCGCCUCCUCAGCUAGACUGACAGCAUUUUCCGCCCAUCCGGGCGAGCAGCCGCCCUUCAGCGCGAAGCCCUCCUGCUGCGGGCUGCUAAUUUUAGGAUGUUGUUCAGGCUGGCUGUAGCAGCCCCGGCUGGGCCGUGAAGCAGAUAACGAGCCGUGAAUCGGAAGCGCGUGAAAUAGGAUGCGGCCCACAGGAAGUCCCUUGCUUCUUUCAGUCACACUCUUGCACCACCCUUUAAGAUCUGGGCUCGACCUCGCCUUUUCUCUCCCCGCCGCCCCCUUUGAAGUUGCGGCAGGAUGUGUAUUUCGGGUGGUAGAGCAGUUUCUGCAAAGCAUCCACGCACAAGAUAAUUUUUAGGCCUCCAAAAGGAUGCUCCCAUGUCAGUGGUGGCUGCUGCCCACUGGGGCUAGGAGAGGGAAGGAAGCCAGAGAUAACUACAAGCAGGCCUAACCCUCAGCAACUUGUUUUUCCUCCGAGCUCCAUGGAUACUCAGUGUGGAGCCAGAACGACAGCUCACUCACUAGAACACUAGAAUGACAUCUUACUCACUAGAACACUAGAAUGACAUCUUACUCACUAGAACACUGAAACAGGGUAUUGUAGAAAACUGCUUCCAUUUUCUUCACACUGCAGAAGCCAUAGGAUCAGCUUACGAAUAAUAAUAGAAAUAUUGAUUCAUUAUACUAUGACGACUCACACACAAUUUUGGAACUCUCAAUACUAUUAGAAAUUUUAUUUUAAAGGUACCAACAAUGUACAAAAAGAUCAGUCUCUUUGCAGUACUGCACAGAGCAGGAUUAGCACUGAAAACCUGUAGGCAGAAUUACAUGGCUAUUCUAGUUUUUCUGAAUAUUCUAAACUUUACUUUUGAAAGAAGGUAAGGCCUUUCACAUGACCAUAUCGGGAUGGGUUGCAGGGUUAGUGAACUCCUGCCCUAGCAGCUACAGAUGAUUAGAACCUCUGCUUGUGUCAACAAACCAAGGAAACACACAAGUAAGCCAGGAGAGGUCUGCAUUGCUGAAACUGGGGAGCUGGAAGCAUGGAGAUUCCUCUGAAGACCUUCCUGGCCUUCUCAGCAUGCUUUGUGCUGUCCAGUAGACUGGAAGGCCUCAUUGCUCUCUGAUUGGCCAUGAAGGGGCAAGAGGUAGUUCCAACCCUACUGAAGUUGCUGCAGAUCUAGGAUAGAGUGGCACAUUCAUAGAUAGUAGCCCCUGUAGUUACAGUUCUCUAUUGUUUCCAGGCAAUAGAAAAGCCAAUAGAAAAGGUGAGUGGAUCUACACCACCAGAAAACUAAGGGUAGGUGUCAUAAAGCUGUCAGGCUAGCCAGGCGAAGCGUAAAACAGGCAGAGGCAGAAGCAGAAUAGCAAAGUCUUAUAUGAAGAAAUUCUCCAAACCAGGUUCAAUCCGAGUCAAAUCCAAUAAAUCCAACAGAGUCCAAUUCAAAGUCUACGGGCAAGGUCAACACAGUCCAGGGUCCAAAUACGGUUAAGGCAAUACACGAACACAGCCGAUUCGCUCACAGGAAAUUGACGUUGGUAUCAGCAGGGUAGCUGUGGUGCAGUCAUCUUAAAUAGACUGACCCCCGGUGCUAUUAAUCAAGAGUUCCUGAGUCAGCAGCUUUGCCUGUUGUUCUACGCAUGCAGUUCCUUAACUCUUGCUGUCUCUUGGACUGACGCCCCUCUGCAGCUGAGACUGGUCGCACCUCCUCCACAAGAGCUGCCUCACCCAGCUAUAACUCAUUUUCAACUCCCCGUGCGUCGGACCCACUCUCCUUUGCAACUUCGGUCCUUGCCCUCCCUCCUCUCCUGUAACCUCCAUCCCCUCCUCCAGCUCCUCCUUGGAGUCUUCCAGCAUGCCCAUGACAGUAGGAGAGGGAAGAGAAUGCAAGACCUGUGAACAAAAAAGGUUAAAAAUGAUCAGGUGCGUAACUACUAUUUGGCAAGGGGAGGCGGCUGCCUGCCCCCCCCCGAGGCAAGUCACAGUGUGUGUGUGUGUGUGUGUAUCAGCGAGGGGCCCAUUUUAAAAUUUUGUCUCUAGGCCCACUCCAGCCUUCUUAUGCCCCUGAAAAUGAUGAAUGUAUAAACAACCAGCUCUCAACACAUAUCAAAAUAAUCAAACACAUAUGUAUAACAUAUCUGUAUAACACAUGAACCCUGAGGCUUUAACAUGCUUGGAGAAAUUUGAUCGUAUAAGAAAUGCUUUUCUACUUCUGUACUGUUCUAAUGGGAACUGGCCCCUGAUGAAGCUUCUGGCGAAACAGCUCCAUAUCCCAGGGUGGCUGUCGUGUGAUUUUCCCUGGUGUGCCUUGUCUUCCACCACCUUUUAUUACUAGUCAUUGCAGAGCAGGUUGCUUACUUUCUUCGUAUGAAGGAUUCAUGAUUUCAUCUACAUGCAUCUUCAUCAUCUCACUGAGUACAUCAAUAAGCUAGUUUCAAAUUCUUGUAACAAGAACCCUAGUUUAUCAUAGCCAAUGCUGGUGCUUAUAUAACUGCUGUUAAGGUAAGUAGGGAGAAUUUGCUUUGGAGAUAGAAGGGGCUAAAGGAUGGGGAAGGGUGCAUAAGUUUGCACCUUGUUCCAUGGUUAAGACAGGCCUAAACAUUAUUAUCUGCUUUGGUCCUCCAAGGGUUCUACAGACCUUUGAGAACUUCCUUUUCAAAGCACUGCUGAACCUUUUUCUGAAAAAUCUUUUUUUCCUGAAAAAAAUCCAUUGGUUUAGUAUAUUUAAUUAUUUAAUGUAUAUACUGCCUGACUCCAAAGGAUGUAGGCAGCCUUUAGAUAUUAUUUAUCUAUUGCAUUGAUAAAUAAUAUAAAUGCAAUAUUUGGAGGGGGCAUUAUGGUGAUGUUCCAGCUACAUGCUGUAAAUUAUCAUGAAACCUACAUGUUCCUGUUAAAAAAAAAUCGUAUAUAUAUUUGUCUAAGAAUUUCAAAAGGAUUAUGGGGAGAGGAAUCAUGGCUCACUAGAAUAAAAGUUAAUUUUAUUAUUGUG